rnacentral:misc_RNA from 1 species
GUGCACCUGUAUCCGUGUCUGUGCUUGCCCCCACUCAACCUUACAUGAAAGAAUACAAAAAAAAACAGAAAGAAAAGCCCCAUCGUGUUUGCGCCUUUUUGCCCUCCCUCCACACAAGCAGCAGCACAGUUGUACAUACGCAUACAAACACACCGGUGCGGGCACCUUGGGGACGCGUAGGUGCACGCCGCAGAAUCCCCGUUUCUUCUGAGUUCGCGGCCGCCGUAGCUUGCUCAUUUUUCCUUUUUUUCUUAUCUUCUCGCAUUGUGUAGCAUUCGUCUCCAUGUCACCCCAGAUUUCGCAAAGGCCACUCGCCGCCUUCGGCGCGCUCCUCACUCUUGUGGUUUUGUUGGGCAGCUGCGCUGCGGUGCAGUCAGCGCGUGCCGAUGAUGGUAGCCUUGCUGUGCAGGUUGCCGCUGGCCGGGAGGUCUGCUUCUACGAGGAAGCUCCUGGUGCUGGAUUGAAGAUGUUCCUGCACUACAUGGUGACUAUGGGCGGUUCCAUGGACAUUGACUGUACGAUUUUGGCGCCGGACAAGACUGUCAUCUGGAAUGCCGAGCGCGACACGGAGAACCGUGUCCUCUUCAAGUCCCGCAUACCCGGCUCGUACGCCUUCUGCUUUAGUAACCGCAUGAGCACGUUGACUUCGAAGGUGGUGUCCUUCUCUGUGAUGGUGGGAAAUGGAAACGCCGCCGACGUGAUGCGGCCGAAGGGGGCGGAGUCGGACUCACUUCACCGCUCCAUCAUGCGUCUGCAGCAGGGAUUGCGGGAGAUCGAGGAGCUGCAGCAGGCCCUGCGCACCCGUGAGCAGGACCACCGCGCCACAACCGAGGUCGCCAAUACACGCGUUGUGGUCUUCUGCAUCCUGGAGAGCGUAUUCAUUAUCGGCAUGGGUGUCGGAAGCGUCCUCUAUCUGCGCCAGAUGUUUGUGACGAAGCGCAUGGUGUGAACUGGCCAUGGAUGCAAUGGCGAACAGCCUCGGUGCAGGUUAGAGUUGAGCACGGACUUGUUGCCCCCCCCCCUGUUUUGCUAGUCUGGCCCUCUGACGCAUACGCGAUGAGCUGCAGCGGAGAUUUCGGAGGUAGGGGGUGGUUGGGGGCGAGGAGAUCAAGUGAAGGAGCAAAUUCUAGGAAGGGCGAAGGGUGGCGGCAGGGAACUCUAAAAGACGUUGAAAAAGAGGAGGAGAGGGGGAGAGGCAGAUGAGAUCGUCGAGUGCGAAAGGUCGAAGAGGCGCGCGCUUCCUUUUAAGUGUUCUUCCCUGCAAGUGCGAGGCAUGCUGAGGCACAUGAUUGUGUUUCUCUUUGUCCAGUUUCCUGAGCAGGGGGGUGGGAGCGGGGCAAAG